rnacentral:rRNA from 1 species
CCUUCGGGUUGUAAACUCCUUUUCUGGGGGAAGAGAAAGGACGGUACCCCAGGAAUAAGUCUCGGCUAACUACGUGCCAGCAGCCGCGGUAAAACGUAGGAGGCAAGCGUUAUCCGGAUUUACUGGGCGUAAAGCGCGUGCAGGCGGUAUUCUAAGUCGGACGUGAAAGCUCCUGGCUCAACUGGGAGAGGUCGUUCGAAACUAGGAAACUUGAGGGUGGUAGAGGAGAGUGGAAUUCCCGGUGUAGUGGUGAAAUGCGUAGAUAUCGGGAGGAACACCAGUGGCGAAGGCGGCUCUCUGGGCCAUUCCUGACGCUAAGACGCGAAAGCUAGGGGAGAGAACGGGAUUAGAAACCCCGGUAUUCCUAGCCGUAAACGAUGUCAACUAGGUGUAGGGGGUAUCCAACCCCCCCUGUGCUGUAGCAAACGCAUUAAGUUGACCGCCUGGGGACUACGGCCGCAAGGCUAAAACUCAAAGGAAUUGACGGGGACCCGCACAAGCAGCGGAGCGUGUGGUUUAAUUCGAGGCUACGCGAAGAACCUUACCAGGGUUUGACAUGGCGGUGGUAGGAAAGUGAAAGCUGACCGACCCUUCGGGGAGCCGUCACAGGUGCUGCAUGGCUGUCGUCAGCUCGUGCCGUGAGGUGUUAGGUUAAGUCCUGUAACGAGCGCAACCCUCGUCGCUAGUUAUACGUGUCUAGCGAGACUGCCGGUGAUAAGCCGGAGGAAGGUGGGGAUGACGUCAAGUCAGCAUGGCCUUUAUAUCCUGGGCUACACACACGCUACAAUGGCCGGUACAAUGGGUCGCGAAGCCGCGAGGCGGAGCCAAUCCUCUAAAGCCGGUCUCAGUUCGGAUUGCAGGCUGCAACUCGCCUGCAUGAAGUCGGAGUUGCUAGUAACCGCGCGUCAGCAAUAGUGCGGUGAAUACGUUCCCGGGUCUUGUACACACCGCCCGUCACGUCAUGGAAGUUGGCAACGCCUGAAGUCAGUGGGCUAACCCUAACGGGAGGCAACUGCCCAAGGCGGGGUCGGUAACUGGGACG